rnacentral:rRNA from 1 species
ACGGAAGGCAGCAGUGGGGAAUAUUGGUCAAUGGACGGAAGUCUGAACCAGCCAAGUCGCGUGCGGGAGGAAGGCCCUACGGGUCGUAAACCGCUUUUGUACGGGGAUAAAGUCACCCACGUGUGGGUGUUUGUAGGUACCGUAAGAAUAAGGAUCGGCUAACUCCGUGCCAGCAGCCGCGGUAAUACGGAGGAUCCGAGCGUUAUCCGGAUUUAUUGGGUUUAAAGGGUGCGCAGGCGGCUUUUUAAGUCAGCGGUCAAAUGUCAGCGCCCAACGCUGGCCUGCCGUUGAUACUGAUGGGCUUGAAUACACACAAGGAAGGUGGAAUUCGUCGUGUAGCGGUGAAAUGCUUAGAUAUGACGAAGAACUCCGAUUGCGAAGGCAGCCUUCUGGAGUGCGAUUGACGCUGAGGCUCGAAAGCGCGGGUAUCAAACAGGAUUAGAUACCCUGGUA